UACGUAGGAGGCGAGCGUUGUCCGGAAUUACUGGGCGUAAAGCGCGCGCAGGCGGUCUUCCAAGUCAGUGGUGAAAGCCCGGAGCUCAACUCCGGAACUGCCAUUGAAACUGUUGGACUUGAGUACGAGAGAGGUGAGUGGAAUUCCCAGUGUAGAGGUGAAAUUCGUAGAUAUUGGGAAGAACACCGGUGGCGAAGGCGGCUCACUGGCUCGUAACUGACGCUCAGGCGCGACAGCGUGGGGAUCAAACAGG
rnacentral:rRNA from 1 species